UGCAUCGAUGAAGAACGCAGCGAAAUGCGAUAAGUAAUGUGAAUUGCAGAAUUCCGUGAAUCAUCGAAUCUUUGAACGCACAUUGCGCCCGCCAGUAUUCUGGCGGGCAUGCCUGUUCGAGCGUCAUUUCAACCCUCAAGCCCCCGGGCUUGGUGUUGGGGCUCGGCCCGUCCCUAGCGGCGCGCCGUCCCCGAAAUCUAGUGGCGGUCACGCUGUACUCCUCUGCGUAGUAAUCUAACCUCGCAACGGGACAAAGCGCGGCCACGCCGUUAAACCCCCAACUUCUGAAGGUUGACCUCGGAUCAGGUAGGAAUACCCGCUGAACUUAAGCAUAUCAAUAAGCGGAGGAA
rnacentral:rRNA from 1 species